rnacentral:ncRNA from 1 species
AUAAAGUUUAAUUUUAGCUUAAAGAUUUAUUUAAUUUUUUUUUUACAUGUAAAUUUUUAUAUGAUUGUUAGUUAAAUUUAAAUAAUUUAAUUAAUAUAGAUUUAUUCGCAGUAUUUAAUUUUAAUAAUUUAAGAAAUUAAGAAUUAUAAAUAAAUUUUAAUAUUGACAAAUUUUGUGCCAGCAGUUGCGGUUAUACAAAAAAUAUGAAUGAAUUUUAUUAAUAAAUAAUUAUAUGAAAUUAAAUAUAAAAUAUAAAAUUAUAUUUAUUAAGUGAAAUUUUAAAUAUAACUUUAAUUUUUAAUUAAUUUUUUAGUAUUAUGAAAUUUAUUUUUAAACUAGGAUUAGAUACCCUAUUAUUUUAAAUGUAAAAUUUUAUUAUUAAGUAGUAUUAGUUAUGUUCUUGAAAUUUAAAGAUUUUGGCGGUAUUUUAGUCUAUUUAGAGGAACCUGUUCUAUAAUUGAUAGUCCACGAUUGAUCACACUUAAUUUAAUAAAUUUGUAUACCGUCGUUUUAAAAAAAUUUUAUAAGAAUAAAAAUUUUUGAUAUUUUUUAUAAUAAAAUAAAUCAGAUCAAGGUGCAGUAUAUAAUUAAGUAGAAAUGGGUUACAAUAAAUUUAUUUAUUAAUGAAUUGUUAUAUGAAAUUAUAAUAUGAAGGUGGAUUUAAAAGUAAUAAAAUUAAAUUUAAUUUUAUGAUUUUAGCUCUAAAAUAUGUACAUAUCGCCCGUCGCUCUUAUUACAAGAUAAGAUAAGUCGUAACAAAGUAGAUGUACUGGAAAGUGUAUCUAGAAUGA